rnacentral:rRNA from 1 species
CCGCGUGUGUGAAGAAGGCCUUCGGGUUGUAAAGCACUUUCGGACGGAACGAAAUCGCGCGCAUGAAUAGUGCGCGUGGAUGACGGUACCGUAAGAAGAAGCACCGGCUAACUACGUGCCAGCAGCCGCGGUAAUACGUAGGGUGCAAGCGUUAAUCGGAAUUACUGGGCGUAAAGGGUGCGCAGGCGGCCCCGCAUGUCAGGCGUGAAAUCCCCGAGCUCAACUUGGGAAUGGCGCUUGAAACUACGGGACUGGAGUGUGGCAGAGGGAGGUGGAAUUCCACGUGUAGCGGUGAAAUGCGUAGAUAUGUGGAGGAACACCGAUGGCGAAGGCAGCCUCCUGGGCCAACACUGACGCUCAUGCACGAAAGCGUGGGGAGCAAACAGGAUUAGAUACCCUGGUAGUCCACGCCCUAAACGAUGACGACUAGUUGUUGGGGGAGUUAAAUCCCUUAGUAACGCAGCUAACGCGUGAAGUCGUCCGCCUGGGGAGUACGGUCGCAAGAUUA